UCUGCCCGCGGAUCCCUAGCAGAGAACGCAAGCACCCACGCCCGCCUGCAAGCUCCCGGGCUCCCCCGGCCUCUCCUGCUCGGCGGAACGAGGAUAACCCAGUAGAGCCGGACCCAGGGGUAGAUCGUUGGCCGGAGACAGGAUAUGUGAAGAAACUUCAGAGAAGGGACAAUACGUUCUAUUACUACAACAAACAGAGGGAAUGUGAUGACAAGGAAGUCCACAAAGUGAAAAUUUAUGCUUACUAGCCUGUCUUCUUUGUAUUACUUGUCAAUUAUAUUUUAAGAAUUCAUCAUUUCCUUCUACAUCGUGUAAGUGUUUGUCAUUUGAUGAAAUAAUUCAAGAUGCAGUCUGCAGUUUAAUGUUUUGUGAAACACAAAAGCCAUGAGAAUUGGUAUCUGCUAAUCACCUUGUCCUGUUCUAAGAACUGGCUGCAGAUGCAUUAAAGUUGUACUUUCUUGG
rnacentral:sRNA from 1 species